GACAGAGGGGGCAAGCGUUGCUCGGAAUUACUGGGCGUAAAGGGCGCGUAGGCGGGAUGGUAAGUCGGUCGUGAAAUCCCUCGGCUUAACCAAGGAAGUGCAUCCGAAACUGCAGUGCUUGAGUACUUAAAAGGAUCGCGGAAUUCCCGGUGUAGAGGUGAAAUUCGUAGAUAUUCGCAAGAACACCAGUGGCGAAGGCGGCUCACUGGCCCGAUACUGACGCUGAGGUGCGAAAGCGUGGGGAGCAAACAGG
rnacentral:rRNA from 1 species